GUACACCGCGCCGUCCGCGCCGCACACGGGCGAGUAGCGCCAGCGCGGGCACGAGCAGCCCGAGUUGCAGUCCGCCAGCAGCCCGUCCGACCUGCGCACCGAGCGGGACCGGGUCAGGCGGCGUGACGGCACGGGCCCAAGCCAUGAGCUCGACAGAUAUAAGCCGCGCCAAUUAAGAAACGAAUCGAAAAUGGCGUCUAUGCACCUGCACUGACAGAUGGUAGGGUCAACAAAUAAAAACAAUGGAAAAAAAGGACUUUUCCUCGUUUGUGAGCGGCCAUAUUAUUUAGCACACGUGGCACAAAAAAAACGAUAACAAUAACAAAUUUAACAAAAACAACGUAAUAACGAACAACUGCAACAUAUAACAACAGAAUUUGAGAGAAAACCGAGCGCGUCGAGAUAGUGUGAGAACAAAGGCACCGUGAGUCCCGCGAAGGGGUAGUCGUCGCAGGACAGCACGAAGCAGAAGGUGAAGGCGGCCGCCACGAGGGUCGCGCCGAUGCACAGCUUGAUGAUGCCGGCGCACGCCAGCUCGAGCCGCUUCACCAGCCAGCCGCCCAGGAACGUGCCGCCGCCGCCCGCCGGGACCGUUAUCAGACCUGGGACACGCCGUGUAUAGAGGACGUAAGGAAUGUGCGGCUGGUUGCUAUCUAAGGGCGCAUUUCUUUUUUUAUUGCUUAUAUGAAUGGACAAGCUCACAGCCCACCUGGUGUUACUGGAGCCCAUAGACAUCUACAACGUAAAUGCGCCUAUAAUAUAAAUCUUUAGAUAUACGUUCUAAGGUCUCAAGUUACAACGGCUGCCCCACCCUUCAAACCGAAACGUAUUACUGCUUCACGGCAGAAACAGGCAGGGCUGUGGUACCUACCCGUGCGGACUCACAAGAGGUCCUACCACCAGUAAAAACGUGGCCCCAGAACCCAUGAACCAGACAAUACAAGUGCCAUCACCUACUACUGAAGUGGUAUUGUUUAGCAGCUGUCCCACCCUUGAAAGCUGACUGUGAGACUGCUUCACAACAGAAAUACGUUAGUAACUACCCGUACCUUACUGUUACUACCAAUAAAAUAUCCAAAUGUAUAGAA